GUGUCCACUACUGAUGACCAAAGUUUCACCAUCACUUGCUACUCUAUGACAUUGAUGAGAAAGUUUAAUUGUUUGAAUAAUUUUAUUCUUAUCUAUAUCCACCAGUGAUGUUUGGUUGUCUUAUCCAAAUGUCACAGCUACUGCAUUAUUUCUGACAAAGCAGGCAUCACCUGGAUAUUUUGUGAAUAUAACUACUUUUCUGAUGAAGAUGCCAUCAUGACUGAACAGCAGUAGUUGUCUUUU
rnacentral:lncRNA from 1 species